AGAGUUUGAUCAUGGCUCAGAACGAACGCUAUCGGUAUGCUUAACACAUGCAAGUCGAACGGACUAAUUAGGGCUUGCUCUAAUUAGUUAGUGGCAGACGGGUGAGUAACACGUGGGAAUCUGCCCAUCAGUACGGAAUAACUUUUAGAAAUAAAAGCUAUACCGUAUUUCUCUACAGAGGAAAANNNAUCGCUGAUGGAUGAGCCCGCGUCAGAUUAGGUAGUNNGGAGAAUGGGCUCACCAAGCCNNNCGAUCGUAGCUGGUCUGAGAGGAUGAUCAGCCACACUGGGACUGAGACACGGCCCCAGACUCCUACGGGAGGCAGCAGUGGGGAAUAUUGGACAAUGGGCGAAAGCCUGAUCCAGCAAUACCGAGUGAGUGAUGAAGGCCUUAGGGUUGUAAAGCUCUUUUAGCAAGGAAGAUAAUGACGUUACUUGCAGAAAAAGCCCCGGCUAACUCCGUGCCAGCAGCCGCGGUAAGACGGAGGGGGCUAGCGUUGUUCGGAAUUACUGGGCGUAAAGAGUGCGUAGGCGGUUUAGUAAGUUGGAAGUGAAAGCCCGGGGCUUAACCUCGGAAUUGCUUUCAAAACUACUAAUCUAGAGUGUAGUAGGGGAUGAUGGAAUUCCUAGUGUAGAGGUGAAAUUCUUAGAUAUUAGGAGGAACACCGGUGGCGAAGGCGAUCAUCUAGGCUAUAACUGACGCUGAUGCACGAAAGCGUGGGGAGCAAACAGGAUUAGAUACCCUAGUAGUCC
rnacentral:rRNA from 1 species